GCAAACGUAGGUUAAAUUGUUAAACUUUUAGUCUUCAAAACUAAAGAAAAAAUUUGUA
rnacentral:tRNA from 1 species